rnacentral:rRNA from 1 species
AUUGAACGCUGGCGGCAGGCCUAACACAUGCAAGUCGAGCGAGCGGCGGACGGGUGAGUAAUGUCUGGGAAACUGCCUGAUGGAGGGGGAUAACUACUGGAAACGGUAGCUAACACCGCAUACCAUCAGAUGUGCCCAGAUGGGAGUAGCUGUGAGGUGGGGUAACGGCUCACCUAGGCGAAGAUCCCUAGCUGGUCUGAGAGGAUGACCAGCCACACUGGAACUGAGACACGGUCCAGACUCCUACGGGAGGCAGCAGUGGGGAAUAUUGAACAAGGGGCGCAAGCCUGAUGCAGCCAUGCCGCGUGUGUGAAGAAGGCCUUCGGGUUGUAAAGCACUUUCAGCGGUGAGGCGUUACCCGCAGAAGAAGCACCGGCUAACUCCGUGCCAGCAGCCGCGGUAAUAC